rnacentral:rRNA from 1 species
GACGAACGCUGGCGGCGUGCCUAACACAUGCAAGUCGAGCGGAGUUGACAAGAGGAAGUUUUCGGAUGGAAUCUUGCCAGCUUAGCGGCGGACGGGUGAGUAACGCGUGAGCGACCAACCUUGCACAGGGGGAUAACGGACCGAAAGGUUCACUAAUACCGCAUGAGACCACGGUGUUGCAUGACACAGAGGUCAAAGGAGCAAUCCGGUGCAAGACGGGCUCGCGUCCGAUUAGGUAGUUGGUGGGGUAAUGGCCCACCAAGCCUAUGAUCGGUAGCCGACCUGAGAGGGUGAUCGGCCACAUUGGAGCUGAGAUACGGUCCAAACUCCUACGGGAGGCAGCAGUGGGGAAUAUUGGGCAAUGGGGGAAACCCUGACCCGGCAACGCCGCGUGAAGGAAGAAGGUUUUCGGAUUGUAAACUUCUGUCCUUGGUGAAGAGAAGAAGACGGUAGCCAAGGAGGAAGCCCCGGCUAACUACGUGCCAGCAGCCGCCGCCG